GAUGAACGCUGGCGGCGUGCCUAAUACAUGCAAGUCGAGCGAACAGACGAGGAGCUUUCUCCUCUGACGUUAGCGGCGGACGGGUGAGUAACACGUGGAUAACCUACCUAUAAGACUGGGAUAACUUCGGGAAACCGGAGCUAAUACCGGAUAAUAUAUUGAACCGCAUGGUUCAAUAGUGAAAGACGGUUUUGCUGUCACUUAUAGAUGGAUCCGCGCCGCAUUAGCUAGUUGGUAAGGUAACGGCUUACCAAGGCAACGAUGCGUAGCCGACCUGAGAGGGUGAUCGGCCACACGGGAACUGAGACACGGGCCAGAAUCAUACGGGAGGCAGCAGUAGGGAAUCUUCCGCAAUGGGCGAAAGCUUGACGGAGAAACGCCGCGUGAGUGAUGAAGGUCUUCGGAUCGUAAAACACUGUUAUUAGGGAAGAACAAAUGUGUAAGUAACUAUGCACGUCUUGACGGUACCUAAGCAGAAAGCCACGGCUAACUACGU
rnacentral:rRNA from 1 species